AUUGAACGCUGGCGGCAUGCCUUACACAUGCAAGUCGAACGGUAACGGGCCUUCGGGUGCCGACGAGUGGCGAACGGGUGAGUAAUACAUCGGAACGUGCCCGAUCGUGGGGGAUAACGAGGCGAAAGCUUUGCUAAUACCGCAUACGAUCUACGGAUGACAGCGGGGGACCGCAAGGCCUUGCGCGGACGGAGCGGCCGAUGGCAGAUUAGGUAGUUGGUGGGAUAAAAGCUUACCAAGCCGACGAUCUGUAGCUGGUCUGAGAGGAUGAUCAGCCACACUGGGACUGAGACACGGCACAGACUCCUACGGGAGGCAGCAGUGGGGAAUGUUGGACAAUGGGCGCAAGCCUGAUCCAGCCAUGCCGCGUGCAGGAUGAAGGCCUUCGGGUUGUAAACUGCUUUUGUACGGAACGAAAAGCCUUCUUUUAAUACAGGAGGGUCAUGACGGUACCGGAAGAAUAAGCACCGGCUAACUACGUG
rnacentral:rRNA from 1 species